rnacentral:rRNA from 1 species
AGUGAACGCUGGCGGUAGGCCUAACACAUGCGAGUCGAACGGCAGCACAGUAAGAGCUUGCUCUUACGGGUGGCGAGUGGCGGACGGGUGAGGAAUACAUCGGAAUCUACUUUUUCGUGGGGGAUAACGUAGGGAAACUUACGCUAAUACCGCAUACGACCUACGGGUGAAAGCAGUGGAUCUUCGGACCUUGCGCGAUUGAAUGAGCCGAUGUCGGAUUAGCUAGUUGGCGGGGUAAAGGCCCACCAAGGCGACGAUCCGUAGCUGGUCUGAGAGGAUGAUCAGCCACACUGGAACUGAGACACGGUCCAGACUCCUACGGGAGGCAGCAGUGGGGAAUAUUGGACAAUGGGCGCAAGCCUGAUCCAGCCAUACCGCGUGGGUGAAGAAGGCCUUCGGGUUGUAAGGCCCUUUUGUUGGGAAAGAAAAGCAGCAGGUUAAUACCCCGCUGUUCUGACGGUACCCAAAGAAUAAGCACCGGCUAACUUCGUG